AUACUUACCUGGUAGGGGAGAUACCAUGAUCACGAAGGUGGUUUUCCCAGGGCGAGGCUUAUCCAUUGCACUCCGGAUGGGAUGUGUUGUCCCUUGCGAUUUCCCAAAAUGUGGGAAAAUUGACUACAUAAUUUGAGGUAGUGGGGGACUGCAUUCACGCUGUCCCCUG
rnacentral:snRNA from 1 species